GUCGUAUUUGAAUACUUACCAGAUGAGAAUAAGUUUCCAUGUCGAUAAAUAACUUCGGAAAAUAGCGCAAACAAGACAAAAUCAAGAUAUUUUCGAAGCCAAAAUGUGAAAAUGGCUAAGAAAAACAGUUAUGAAACCAGCUCAGCAAGUUUCCGCAAACUCCAAAAUUACUAAGUUUCUUGAGAAGCAGCUGAUGAUCGACCCUAUCAAACGCUUUAUUUUACAGUAGUUUGCAGCUAAUCGCCAUCCUGUGAAUAACUUUCAACUUCAAUUGGUAUUUUUCGGCAAAAUUUGAUUUGCCUCAUAUUAAUAGUAGUAUAAAUUAUAGCAAUAAAAAAUACAUAACAUCGUAGUUUGCAUGCGACGUUUUUAGUACUUGAUUUGGGUUAAUGAUACUGUUCCAGGAAUGCAGGCUACACACACUCGCGGACCAAGAACAAUGACAUCUCUCGACAUGUCCAAGUUAGCGGUCUGGGAGAUUUGUCCGCACCGGCACAAUUUAGUUAUUUAUUUGGAAACAUGUGCAUUGCCCAUCAUGGAUGAUAUUUUAUCUAUGAGAGUCUGUUUUUUAUUCUUUGAUUUGAACUGAAGUUCUAAAUGCGCACAAAUUUCUUUCAGCAUCGUUAUUUUAAAAUCAGAUAGGCUCUUCUGCUUGUACAUGUCACACAUAAAUCAUACGCGUCGUGGUAUACAGCCGAUGGCAUACGUCGAUCAGCAAGCAAUUUCCACAAGUUGUCCACAAGCAUUUCUCUGUGUGCGUUCGCAUCAAAAUGAAGAACACGUAAACUUACGCAUUCUCCUUCAUGAAGAACACGUAAAUUUACGAUAGUUAUCUCCAGUUUCACCUGCGUCAUUAAAAUACUAAUUACAACACUUGAAGAAGUAAAAGUAGCGUAAUACUUACGAGAUCCUAUUUGAAUUAAUUUCCCAUAAAGAGUAAAAACUGUUUUUGAUAAUG